CCUUAUCCAUGGUGGAGCAGUAGUUACUCAUAGAGCUGUCCUUAUCCAUGGUAGAGCAGUAGUUACUCAUAGAGCUGCCCUUAUCCAUGGUGGAGCAGUAGUUACUCAUAGAGCUGUCCUUAUCCAUGGUGGAGCAGUAGGUACUCAUAGAGCUGCCCUUAUCCAUGGUGGAGCAGUAGGUACUCAUAGAGCUGCCCUUAUCCAUGGUAGAGCAGUAGUUACUCAUAGAGCUGCCCUUAUCCAUGGUGGAGCAGUAGUUACUCAUAGAGCUGCCCUUAUCCAUGGUAGAGCAGUAGUUACUCAUAGAGCUGCCCUUAUCCGUGGUGGAGCAGUAGUUACUCAUAGAGCUGCCCUUAUCCGUGGUGGAGCAGUAGUUACUCAUAGAGCCGCCCUUAUCCAUGGUGGAGCAGUAGUUACUCAUAGAGCUGCCCUUAUCCGUGGUGGAGCAGUAGUUACUCAUAGAGCCGCCCUUAUCCAUGGUGGAGCAGUAGUUACUCAUAGAGCUGCCCUUAUCCGUGGUGGAGCAGUAUUUACUCAUAGAGCUGCCCUUAUCCAUGGUGGAGCAGUAGUUACUCAUAGAGCCGCCCUUAUCCAUGGUGGAGCAGUAGUUACUCAUAGAGCUGCCCUUAUCCAUGGUAGAGCAGUAGUUACUCAUAGAGCUGCCCUUAUCCAUGGUGGAGCAGUAGUUACUCAUAGAGCUGCCCUUAUCCAUGGUGGAGCAGUAGCUACUCAUAUAGCCUACUCUUUCCCACCCCAUCUCUAUAUGCACUCACUGUGUAGCAUACCCUUUACCAGAGUGCUUAUACUAUAGUACCAUGGAACAGAAAUUCCAUAAGAAUACAUUGAUUUUGGUGUGAGCCAUGUCUGUUAUCAAUCACAUUCAUUUAAAUCAAUCAAAUGUAUCUAUAAAGCCCUUUUUACAUCAGCAGAUGUCACAAAGUUCUUAUACAGAUAACCAGCCUAAAACCCCAAACAGCAAGCAAUGCAGAUGUAGAAGCACAGUGGCUAGGAAAAACUCCCUUUGAAGGGCUGGAACCUAGGAGGAAACCUAGAGGAACCUAGGCUGGAACCUAGGAGGAAACCUAGAGGAACCUAGGCUGGAACCUAGGAGGAAACCUAGAGGAACCCAGGCUGGAACCUAGGAGGAAACCUAGAGGAACCUAGGAGGAAACCUAGAGGAACCUAGGCUGGAACCUAGGAGGAAACCUAGAGGA
rnacentral:lncRNA from 8 species